rnacentral:rRNA from 1 species
UACAGAGGGGGCAAGCGUUGUUCGGAAUUACUGGGCGUAAAGCGCGUGUAGGCGGUCCGGUAAGUCCGCUGUGAAAGUCGGGGGCUCAACCCUCGGAUGCCGGUGGAUACUGUCGGGCUUGAGUACGGAAGAGGCGAGUGGAAUUCCUGGUGUAGCGGUGAAAUGCGCAGAUAUCAGGAGGAACACCAAUUGCGAAGGCAGCUCGCUGGGACGUUACUGACGCUGAGACGCGAAAGCGUGGGGAGCAAACAGG